rnacentral:rRNA from 1 species
UUAACUUACACUUCUUUUAGUUAUUGUAGAGGCGGUUAGGUUGGCGGGAACGUGGUGAGUAACGACGUAAGGAACCUAGCCUUUUACGUAGGGAAGUAACAAUGAGAAUACAUUGCUAAUACCGCAUAUGCCAUAGUUAUCACAUGAUAAUAGUGGGAAAGGAGCAAUUCGCUAAAAGAUGGCCUUGCGUCUGAUUAGAUAGUUGGUAAGGUAACGGCUUACCAAGUCGACGAUCAGUAGCCGGACUGAGAGGUUGAACGGCCACAUUGGGACUGAGAUACGGCCCAGACUCCUACGGGAGGCAGCAGUCGGGAAUAUUGCGCAAUGGAGGAAACUCUGACGCAGUGACGCCGCGUAUAGGAAGAAGUUUUCGGAAUGUAAACUAUUGUCGUUAGGGAGGAGAAAGGACAGUACCUAAGGAGGAAGCUCCGGCUAACUACGUG